rnacentral:rRNA from 1 species
GCGGCAUGCUUUACACAUAGCAAGUACGAACGGUAACGACGGGAGGCUUGCUCCGCUGACGAGUGGCGAACGGGUGAGUAAUAUAUCGGAACGUACCAGAAUGGGGGAGUAACGUAGCGAAGUUAACGCUAAUACCGCAUACGAUCUACGGAUGAAAGUAGGGGACCUUCGGGCCUUAUGCUUUUGGAGCGGCCGAUAUCUGAUUAGCUAGUUGGUGAGGUAAAGGCUCACCAAGGCGACGAUCAGUAGCUGGUCUGAGAGGACGACCAGCCACACUGGAACUGAGACACGGUCCAGACUCCUACGGGAGGCAGCAGUGGGGAAUUUUGGACAAUGGGCGCAAGCCUGAUCCAGCAAUGCCGCGUGAGUGAAGAAGGCCUUCGGGUUGUAAAGCCCUUUUGUCAGGGAAGAAACGGCUGUGGCUAAUAUCCACGGCUAGUGACGGUACCUGAAGAAUAAGCACCGGCUAACUACGUG